rnacentral:lncRNA from 1 species
UUAUCAUCUUUUGGGAGAGAGACAUCACUAGUGAACAUCAUGUGACUCCGGUCCAUAUCACCACCAUAGCUUACACCUCCAUCAUUUACUGCUUUCAUUUACUUUUCCGUUGCAAUCACUAUCACUGUUCCCGCUUGUGUUUUGAUCCUUUGCAAACUACAAGGCCGGAGAGAUUGACAACCUCUCUGUACUCGUUGGGAGCAAAGUUAUUUGUGUGUGUUCAGGUCCACGUCUUCUGCUAGUGUCAGGGCAGGGGACACCUACUUGUUGAUCCUUGGAGUCCUCCUGGUUCGAUAACCUUACACUCUCCGUGUAAGGGAAAACUUGCUGCUGACUACAUCUCCACCUUCCAACAUCUGCAAGAACCUCUUCAUCCUUGUUAUUUUAUCAUCACAUUCCUUGUCCUUAUUUGACGAAUCUGAACCCAUGAACUAUUUAUAGAAGUACUCCUCUUCUCAAUCCAUCGUGUUUGCAUCAAAGUAACAACGAGAACACCAAAAAAAUGGCCAUGGUAUUUGUCUCGAUAGUUGUUCAGAGUAGUG